GGAUGAGGAUGGUGGCUUGGAUGAAAAGCUCAAUCAGGAUAACACCGAACUAGUGCUAGACAUGAACCAUCUGAACCAGUGCUCCGGCCGGCCAAGGUGUACGCGCUCUUGGGUUUCCAUGGCAUGUGAACACCUCUAGCUCACGAGGCUGCUUGGUUGUCGCAGAGCUCCUCCUCUCCAUCUGAUGAAAGCAAGAGAACAGCAAGAGUAUCACUGUAAGUGCAAGAUCAGACACGCAGAGAAGGAGGCUAUUAGUACAAGGGAAGAAUCUCAUGAUGAGCUUACCGCGAGCUCCAUCGUUCCUUCCAUUGGGCUAGCUUGCGAGAAAACACUGCAGGAAAGUGGCAUCAAACAUUAGCAGUGCACACACAAACUGGAAGAAAGUAGCCUGCGAAGCUCAGAACGAGGAAGAGAGAUUGGAAGUGCGCGCUGCCGCGCUCACCAAUCGGUAGCCAGCAGCGCCAAGGAAGAAAUGCCCAGCUUCUCCCAACUCAAAAUGUUGGUCAGCUUUGUGAGGAGGGGAGUGUGUGUGGUAGUGCACAGGUGCUGUGGUGAAUAAAAAGGCAGAGAGAGAGAGAAGGCUCAGGGGCCGGACAUGGAGACUUGGCGCCUUGACGGUGUGUGUAUGCAGAAGCUGCAGCAGAUGGAGAUUUGGGGUCAGGAAAUCUUUUGGGGGAGUUAAGGGGGGAUUUGAUCGAUCUUCAGGCUUUCCAAGAGAUCGAUGUGCUAUAGCUGGCUGUGGUCUAGUGCUCUAGACUCUAGUCUACAGCAUUUCUACGGGUGAGCAUGCGCCAAAGCAGUUGAGAGAGAGAGAGAGAGGUGG
rnacentral:lncRNA from 1 species